rnacentral:rRNA from 1 species
UUGACCUCGGAUCAGGUAGGAAUACCCGCUGAACUUAAGCAUAUCAAUCAGCGGAGGAAAAGAAACCAACGGGGAUUGCCCUAGUAACGGCGAGUGAAGCGGCAACAGCUCAGAUUUGAAAUCUGGCCCUAGGCCCGAGUUGUAAUUUGCAGAGGAUGCUUCGGGCGCGGCGCCUUCCAAGUCCCCUGGAACGGGGCGCCAGAGAGGGUGAGAGCCCCGUACUGUCGGACGCCAAGCCUAUGUGAAGCUCCUUCGACGAGUCGAGUAGUUGGGGAAUGCUGCUCAAAAUGGGAGGUAGACCCCUUCUAAAGCUAACUACUGGCCAGAGACCGAUAGCGCACAAGUAGAGUGAUCGAAAGAUGAACAGCACUUUGAAAAGAGGGUUAAAUAGCACGUGAAAUUGUUGAAAGGGAAGCGCUUGUGACCAGACUUGCACCGGGGCGAUCAUCUGGCGUUCUCGCCAGUGCACUCGCCUCGGUUCAGGCCAGCGUCGGUUCGCGCGGGGGGAUAAAGGUACUGGGAACGUGGCUCCUCUGGGAGUGUUAUAGCCCAGUGCGUCAUGCCCUCU